CCGUGCGWAGGUAGCACAAUCACUUGUCUCUUAAAUCGGGACCUGUAUGAAUGGCAUCACGAGGAUUCAACUGUCUCCCCUCAUUAAUCAGUGAAACUAAUCUCCCUGUGAAAAAGCAGGGCUACUUAUACAAGACGAGAAGACCCUAUGGAGCUUAAAACUAAUAACAUUUGCUCUACUUUAUCUAGUAACCAUCCAGCAUUAUGCUUAUACGUUUUCGGUUGGGGUGACCCUGGAAAAAAGCCUAACUUCCAUGCUGGCAAAUACAAGAACCUCAAUUCUACAAAUCAAUAUAUUGACACAAUUGACCCAAGCACUUGAUCAACGAACCAAGUUACCCUAGGGAUAACAGCGCUAUCCACUUCAAGAGUACAUAUCAACAAGUGGGCUUACGACCUCGAUG
rnacentral:rRNA from 1 species